UUGAAGCGGCCCUAUUUGAGGUGAAGGACGUGUGAAACCAAAACAAAACGGCCGUUAGAAUUAAUUUGCGAAAAAUGUCUAUUGCUGGGCAACAGAGAUGUCCUAUGGUUGUCGUAUCGGGGAACUCCCACCCAGAGCUUGCACAGACAGUAGCAGAGAAGUUGUCAACACAUCUCUGUGACUGCUGUUGUUACCAUAAAGCUAACAGAGAAACAGUUGUUGAGAUUAAAGAGUCCAUCAGAGGGAAGGAUGUCUAUAUUAUACAAACUGGAACAAAGGAUGUUAAUAAUGACAUGAUGGAACUACAGAUUAUAGCAUAUGCCUGCAAGACAAGCUCGGCAAGGAAAGUGGUAGGAGUUGUGCCCUAUAUUCCAUACUCCAAACAGAGCAAAAUGAGAAAACGAGGGUCCAUAGUUUGUAAACUUCUCGCUAAAAUGCUCAGCACAUCUGGAUUGACCCACAUUAUAACCAUUGAUCUUCAUCAAAAGGAAAUCCAGGGUUUCUUUGACAUCCCAGUAGAUAACCUCAGAGCUUCACCAUUCCUUAUAGAAUAUAUCCAGGGAACGAUUCCAGAUUUCCGUAAUGCUGUGAUAGUAGCCAGAAAUCCAAACUCGGUAAAGCGUGUCACGUCAUUUGCCGAGCGUCUGCGUCUGAGUAUCGCUGUGAUUCACGGUGAGGAUAAAGAUGAGGAUGAGCCCUGUGACGGUAGAACCUCGCCUCCUCCUCUCAUGCAAGAGGCAGACUUUGGAAUACAUCCAAUACCUGAUUCAGAUCAGGGUAAACGGUUACUCCCCUUGCCUGCUGCCGAAAACAGCAAUUCAACAUCAAUACUUGCCAAAGAGAAGCCACCUUUAAAUGUUGUUGGAGAUGUUGGUGGGAGAAUAGCAAUAAUUGUGGAUGAUAUGAUAGAUGAUGUAAUGUCAUUUGUGAAAAUAGCCGAGGUGCUGAAGGAACGCGGUGCUUACAAGAUCUAUGCUAUGGCCACUCACGGACUGUUAUCCUCAGAUGCUCCAAGACUUAUAGAGGAUUCUUGUAUAGAUGAGGUUGUUGUUACAAACACAGUACCCCACGAGAUUCAGAAGAUGCAGUGCCAUAAGAUAAAGACUGUUGAUAUAAGUGGUAUGUUGGUGGAAGCAAUACGGAGAAUACACAAUAACGAGUCGAUGUCCUACCUGUUCAGAUACAUCGGAAUGGACGAUUGAUGAAAGACUUCGGGUUUCCAGGAAUUUUAUGUCUCAUUGUUUGGAGGAGGAGAUAGAUAAUCGAUCUGUUAUUGGAAGAGAUUGUUAAUGCUGCAGCAAAGUCCACUUUCCCCUGCAUAGUUCGAACCAACUUUAUUCACUAUCGGCUAUGUUAAGCAUGUACUGCAAAAUUAUUAAAACCAUUUUAUGUAGCAUCAAAACUGAAAUAUCAUAUUCUUUGAUAUUUUAAGUGUUGGGUGUUAGUGUGUUGGAACUUGUCAUGUAUUUUAAAGAUUUGAGUUAAUUGAAAGGAAAACUCUAAAUCAAAAUAAAUAUAUGUCAGGGCAGGGAAAAGGUGAUUGAUUAUGGUGGAUGGUGAAAUUUAUAUUAUAUUAUGAUCUGUUUGGGUAACCCUUGUUCUGCUUACUCUCACAGCCAGCCAGUUUAUAAAAGGUUGAUGGUUUUUCCUAGGUAUCUGAUUACACAUAAAAUAUUCAGAGGGGUACUUAGGUCUUUCCAUGCCAUCAAAGUCUUCAUAUGACUUUCUUGUUGGUGUGACUUGAAUCCCAAGAAAACAAAGAAACAUAUUUACAUUUACAAUAUGUUUUGUAUAGGGAAAAAAAGGCAUUUUUCAUCAAUAUCUUUCAAAAUUGGACAAAGAACAUUAGAUUAUAGCUAACUAACUUUCCUGACAGUAAAGAUCAAAAUCUUAAUCUACAUGGCUAUAAUUAUGAUUUUUUCCUGGAUUUAAGGAUAUUUUGAAUAAAACCCAGAAACUAUAUUUUUACCUGAAGCCCAAUUACAUUUUAAUGUGGGCAGAUCUUUUUAGCUGUUCUACUGAGACCAAUAUCCUGAAAUUUAAUUUGAUUUACUGAUAGAUGGGUAUAUAAAUUUACUGACUGAAUGGUGAACAGUGCAGACCAAGAUCAGCCUGCACAUCCGUGCAGUCUGGUCAUGGUCUGCACUGUUCACAAAGGCAGAAUCAUAUGCCACCAGCAGGCUAAAGGUUAAUAGAUUUAGCAAAUUUUUGGGAAAGGGGCAUUAUGAACACAGGUUAUAAAUAAUAGCUUAUUUGGGAGCAUUGUUAGGAUGUCGGAAUACAUCAAAAAUGAAAAUUGUCUUUGAAGAUCAUGUAGUGAAAAAUUUAUUCAGGAUUCUUCAACAAAAGUAUUAACAGCACAUUCUUAAUAUUGUGGAAACUGAAAGACAACCUUGUUUAUGUUUAAUGGUGUAUUAUUUUAUCAUGUUGUUAAAUUUUAUGUUACGUUUUUGUGGAUAUAUUUUAGUGUGUUAAUUUACUGAUGAAAUGUUUUUAUCAUAAAUUGAUAUUUUGAAAUGAAAUAUUACCAGUAUUUAAAUGCAGUCAUUAUCAGCCUUUGAUUACAGACUAAUUUUUAGCCAGACCCCAUGUUUCUUGAGGGAGAGGGAACCCAUGGAUUUUUCCUUUUCCAUAUGUAUGUCUAUCCAUUUGAAUUUGUGUCAUAUAUAUCUCAAAAUGUAUUUGACAGUCUUCAAACGUCAUAUGAUUUGUUAUUCAACAUGUGAAGUUAUGUGCCUUGGGUUUUGUUUGGGGUAUCAUUUAGUCAGACCAGAUUCAUCAGAAAUGUGCAUUAACGUGUACACUUUGGGUUGCAUUUAUUACUCUACCCCCCCCACCACCCCACCCCAGUAUGGCACUGACUUUGCAUUUUCCAUGUUGUGUUUCUUUAUAUCAUACCAGUAUAAGUGUGUUCACUGUCCCAGUACAGUCUAGUAGAGAAAAUGUUUUGAGAUGGUUCAGAUAUCUACAAGAGAUAUCAAAGCCUAUUUUUGUCCCAUUUAUUGUUUGAAAGGAACUACUUGAAUUCUCUGUAUAGAGAUUAAGCAAUAUGAAAACAUUUCAUUUUAUUCUCCUCCAUUGUACAUACAUGCCAGUUCAUUCCAGAUCUUGCUACUCAAUUCCAUGUUGUGAGAUUUACGUGGUGCUUGCCUCACCUAUUUUUGGAAGACAUACCAGUAGUACUUUAUUUUAAUAAUGUAAAUUAUUUUCUGGUAGACUUUUUAUCAUUCUUAAAAGACAAAAUUCAUAUAAAAGACUUCUUAUCAUUCUUAGAGGACAGAAUUCAUAUAAAAGCUGAUAAAGGUCUUAAAACAAGUGUGUGUAUGCUAUGACAAGGGUGAGCUAGUAGUAUAGGUGGAUGGUCCAGCAUAGUUGUGUGUCACCUGGCAUUGGUUGUCAUCUUUUUAACUUAAAACAUUUCCACUGAAGCUACUGGACAGAAUUACAUCAGACUUGGUCUAUAGCAUCAUUGCAACGUCCCCCCUCAAGUUUGUUCAAAUAGAGGCACUUGGUCCUUUUAGGGGCUGCUAGAGCUAUAAAUAGAAAAACCUUUAAACAACUUUUUGUUAUGAACCAUUUGAUGGAUCUUCAUCAGACCAGGUCUGUAGCAUCAUUGUAAAGUUCUCUGUCAAUUUUAUACUAAUGGGAGGCAUUUGGUCCCUUUUAGGGGCAGCUAUAGCUUAGAAUAGAUAACUUUAAACAACCUCUUGUCAUGAACCACUUGAUGGAUCAUUUUCAAACUUUGUUUGCAUUAUCAUUUUAAGAUCGUCUCUCAGAUUUAUUCAGUGGGGGCAGCUGUAGCUAAAAAUAGAAAUACUUUUAACGGAUUCUUCUCAUGAACCAUUUGUUUGAUCUUCAUCAAACUUGGUUUUUUGCAUCGUUUUAAGAGUCUUCCCUAAAGUUUGUUCAAAAUGGGAUAUUUGGCCCCUACUAGGGGCUGCUAGAACUAAAAAUAGACUUCUUCUCAUGAACAGCUUAAUCGAUUCUCAUCAGAUUUGGUCUGUUGCAUCAUUGUAAGGUCAACUUUCAAUUCCCUUUAAAUGGCACUUAAUCCCUUUGAGGACUUAAAAUAGAAAAACCUUCAAACAACUUCUUCUCAUGAAACUAUUGGUAGAUUUCUAUCAGAUUAGGUAUGUAGAAUCAUUUUAAGGUCCUCCCUCAAUUUUUUUCAAAUGGGGGCACUUGAGCAGUUCUGUGUUUUUGUAUGUGAAACACAGGUAUUACCAUAUGAUUUAGUAAGUCGUAAUGUAUAUUGGAGGUCAAAUAAUCCAGGUCACUUGAGCAACUUAGGGCCACUAAAGCUAAAAACAGAAAAAACCUUUAACCACUUGUUGGAUCUUUAUAAAGCCUAAUCUCUAGCAUCUUUGAUAGGUCCUUCCUUAGUAUUUUCAAAUAGGGGCUGCUAGAGGUAAACGUAGAAAAACAACUUAUGAACUGCUUGGUGAAACUUUGGUCAGUAGCAUCAUUGUAAGGCACUCUCCCUUUGCAUAGGGGUAUAUAGCCCCUUUAAGGGGCCAUUAGAGCUAAAAAAUAAAAACCUGUUAACUUCUUAUGAACUGCUUGAUGGAUCUCCAAACUUGGUAUGUUGAAUCAUUUUAAUGCACUCCCUCAAAUUUGUUAAAAUACUGGACCUUGUUAAUGUUUUUGUAUGCUAAACACAGAAAUUACUAUUCAUGAUUCAUUCUGUCAUAUGUAUAUUCAAGGUCAAAUUGUUAAGGUCAGUGAUGUAUUUUCAUUUUAGUUAUGUUUUUACUGUGUCUUUUUAUGUCUCAUACUGCAGCUCACAUUAUAAGAGGGUAUGAAACCUGUACUUGCAGGAAAUUGUUACUUUACAUUUGAUACAUUUUAUCAGCUCAGCAAGCAAAAUUGUUAAGGUGAAGUAUUGUGAAUCUCCCAUGUCCGAUAUCGUUGUCAGUUAAUUUUAGAGUUAACAUGUGUAACCUCAGCUAACAAACAAUCUUCAUGAAAUUUACACAGAUUUGUAUGGCAAGUUCAAUAUUGGGAUAAAGUUUCUAAAAGUUACACAAAGGGUAUUCGCCUCGAAUCAGUUGAUACUGUCAUGUUUUACAUGGAUAUCACAUAAAAGGCCACAUUUCUUGAGAUUCUUCAUAAAACUUACACAGAAAAUAUACAGCCGCAAGAUCUAGCAUAUAUUCAAUAAUGUAGACCUGGUCCCAGGUUUGACCCUUUUAUUACGACAUUAUUUUCACAUUUCACAUUGUGAGCAUUACUAAAAGCCACAUUUCUGGAGUAAUCUUCACGAUUAAAAUUGCAAAAUAUGUUUGCAGAAGUGUGAUAAUGCACAUGAUUGCUCCAUUAACACAGGUGGGGCCUCAGUGGCCAAGUGUUUAAGAUCAUUAACACAGGUGGGGCCUCAGUGGCCAAGUGUUUAAGAUCAUUAACACAGGUGGGGCCUCAGUGGCCAAGUGUUUAAGAUCAUUAACACAGGUGGGGCCUCAGUGGCCAAGUGUUUAAGAUCAUUAACACAGGUGGGGCCUCAGUGGCCAAGUGUUUAAGAUCAUUAACACAGGUGGGGCCUCAGUGGCCAAGUGUUUAAGAU
rnacentral:misc_RNA from 1 species